UCAACAACGGAUCUCUUGGUUCUGGCAUCGAUGAAGAACGCAGCGAAAUGCGAUAAGUAAUGUGAAUUGCAGAAUUCAGUGAAUCAUCGAAUCUUUGAACGCACAUUGCGCCCUCUGGUAUUCCGGGGGGCAUGCCUGUUCGAGCGUCAUUACAACC
rnacentral:rRNA from 1 species